AGUUAUACCUGAGUCUCCGCUUCCACUCGUGUAGGCCAGAGCACCUUCCCCGGCUAGCCAAGACCUUGCCGGGGGUGUGGUUGUGCUCCACUCCGUGGGAGGGGUUGAUUGGCAAGACAGCUGGCACCCCGCAGGAGCACCGCCAUGGGGAGCGCUGAUUGAUUGCCUAGACAGACUGUACGGGUCAAAGUGGAAGGAGUGGUAAACUACCCAAGGACAGCAGAGAAGAGGGGAUACAUGCUCCCAGACAGGGUGGGCAAGGAGCCCUAAGAUGGGAACAGGAAAACCGUGGAGCACACAAGAGUGCCAGAGGCUCUCGGACACCUUCCCAAAGAGGAUGAUGUUUGAACUGAGUCUUAAGGGUCAAAUUAAAGUCUCUAAGUAUUUGGUGACAGCCUGCUAAGUUUUGGAUACCCUACUAGGCAUUACGGUGGUGAACAAGAUGGUGAACAAUAUGGAUGUGGUUUGCUCUUGUGGAACUUUCUGGCUAUUGGGAACAAUAUUAAACAAACAAACAAAAAAAAAGUAUUGAGCACUUACAAGGUAAAAAAGAAGAGUGAAGAGCAUCCCAGGCAAAGGAAAUGACCAUAGCAUGUGCAGAGACUCUGUAGUUAAGAAAUUGAAGGCAACGGAUGGGGGUUGCUCUUGGUAAGAGAAGCAGCAGAACAGAUAAGCAGCUUCCAGAUCAUGAAGGUCCCCACUUAUAGAUCUCAUUGGUGUGAUUUUAAAACGGUGAUUCUUGGUUUCUCAGUCGUGUCCAACUCUUUGUGACCCCAUGGACUGUAGCUCACCAGGCUCCUCUGUCUGUGGGAUUUUCCAGGCAAGAAGACUGGAGCGGGUUGCCGUUUCCUCUUCCAGGGUAAAAGCGGUGAAGGCAUUAUAAUACAAGUGACUCCUGUUUUUGGUGUGUGAAUAAUUGAAAAGGGAUCGACAUUAUUUUGAGAGUCAGGCUGGGUUGCACCAUUCUCAGGCCAGGUGAAGCUACAUUUGAAACCAAAGAAGACGUGCAUGUAAAAGGUACAUAAUCUGCACCACAAAAAAGGAGAAAUAUCUGUCCCUGAGAUGACUUAACAUUUGACCUUAUUGUGAUUAUCUCA
ensembl:lncRNA